rnacentral:rRNA from 1 species
GACGAACGCUGGCGGCGUGCCUAAUACAUGCAAGUAGGACGCAGUUGCGAACGGUUGAGUAAUGCGUCGGUACUUACCUAUUAGAGGGGGAUAAAUAUUGGACACGAUAGCUAAUACCGCAUACUAGUAGAUGGACCUGCGUUGUAUUAGCUAGUAGGUGGGGUAAUGGCCUACCUAGGCAACGAUACAUAGCCGAGCGGAGAGGGUGAGCGGCCACACGUGGACUGAGACACGGCCCAGACUCCUACGGGAGGCAGCAGUAGGGAGUCUUCGGCAAUGGGGGGAACCCUGACCGAGCAACGCCGCGUGAGUGAAGAAGGUUUUCGGAUCGGAAAGCUCUGUUGUUAAGGAAGCGGUAAUUAACCAGAAAGGGACGGCUAACUACGUGCCAGCAGCCGCGGUAAUAC